UACGUAGGGGGCAAGCGUUGUCCGGAGUUACUGGGCGUAAAGCGCACGCAGGCGGUCGCGUAAGAGUGCGGGGACAGUGGGCGGCUUAACUGCCCAAGGGUCGCACAGACUGCGUGACUGGAGGGCCAGAGAGGGACCUGGAAUUCCGGGUGUAGCGGUGGAAUGCGUAGAGAUCCGGAAGAACACCGGUGGCGAAGGCGGCCUGCUGGGCAGUAGCUGACGCUGAGGCGCGACAGCGUGGGGAGCAAACAGG
rnacentral:rRNA from 1 species